rnacentral:rRNA from 1 species
AUUGAACGCUGGCGGCAUGCCUUACACAUGCAAGUCGAACGGCAGCACGGGAGCAAUCCUGGUGGCGAGUGGCGAACGGGUGAGUAAUAUAUCGGAACGUGCCCAGUAGUGGGGGAUAGCCCGGCGAAAGCCGGAUUAAUACCGCAUACGACCUGAGGGUGAAAGCGGGGGAUCGCAAGACCUCGCGCUAUUGGAGCGGCCGAUAUCAGAUUAGCUAGUUGGUGGGGUAAAGGCCUACCAAGGCUACGAUCUGUAGUUGGUCUGAGAGGACGACCAGCCACACUGGGACUGAGACACGGCCCAGACUCCUACGGGAGGCAGCAGUGGGGAAUUUUGGACAAUGGGCGAAAGCCUGAUCCAGCAAUGCCGCGUGCAGGAAGAAAGGCCUUCGGUUGGUAAACUAGCUUUGUUCUAGGG